GAUUUCGGUUGCACAGCUGAACAGAUGAUCAGAUUUAUAUAAAUAAAUAUCUUAGUAGUUCAGUGUGAAUUUAAUACGUCAAACAAUUUGAUUGUAAAUACAGCUCUCCGCAUUGGAAACUUUUCGUCGCCACUUUUGCGUUCCAAGCAGUUCCGAAACUACAUAUGUAUUUCGCCACCGCGUCUGUUUAAAUCCGUGAAAAUUGUGAGAAUCCUUGAGUUUUAAUUUUGGAGCGAGUUUAAGUGUUAGUGCUCGUGUUAAUUUGUAAUUAAACGAAAUUAAAGUAGUCGUCGCAUUUUUCCCUCGGUUUUUUGGCCAUUAAAUAAAGUGCGUUCGUGUCGUUGCGGUAAAAAGAUUGGUGAAAGGUUAACUCAGGAAAAUCACUUAAACAUCUGUGUUAAGGCUUUGAAAACUUUUUAUGGAACAAUUUAGUCAUAACACCUCACAGUAAGGAUGUUGAUGUGGACGACCUUUGGUUUCAACAAGACGGCGCUAUAUGCGAUACAGCCAACGAGACAAUUAAGUUAUUGAUUGAAACUUUUGGUGGGUACAUUAUCUCGUGUCGUGGACCUGUGGAGAUAUGUAUGUGCCGUCACUUGUCCACGCCGAUAAGCAGCAGAUGAAACAAGUUAUUCCUUGGAAAAGACAAUACCUCGCUGACAUACGGACCCGACUGCUGCAAAAAAUGGUCGAAAAUUAGGCCUUUCGACUAAAGUUUGAGACAACCACGGUCACUUGCCCGAAAACAUCUUAGAAAGUUUUAAAACAUGUUGUCAUUAUGUUAAUGUAUCUUUAUAAUAUAGAACAAUACU